rnacentral:rRNA from 1 species
UACGUAGGGUGCAAGCGUUGUCCGGAAUUAUUGGGCGUAAAGAGCUCGUAGGCGGUUUGUCGCGUCUACUGUGAAAACCCGAGGCUCAACCUCGGGCCUGCAGUGGGUACGGGCAGACUAGAGUGCGGUAGGGGAGAUUGGAAUUCCUGGUGUAGCGGUGGAAUGCGCAGAUAUCAGGAGGAACACCAAUGGCGAAGGCAGAUCUCUGGGCCGUAACUGACGCUGAGGAGCGAAAGCAUGGGGAGCGAACAGG